GACAGAGGUGCCGAGCGUUAGGCGGAAUCACUGGGCUUAAAGCGUGUGUAGGCGGGUCGUUAAGUGUCUUGUGAAAUCCCCCCGGCUCAACCGGGGAAUGGCUGGGCAUACUGGCGAUCUUGAGCAGUCUAGGGGCAGAUGGAACAAGUGGUGGAGCGGUGAAAUGCGUAGAUAUCACUUGGAACGCCAAAGGUGAAAACAGUCUGCUGGGGACUUGCUGACGCUGAGACACGAAAGCUAGGGGAGCGAAUGGG
rnacentral:rRNA from 1 species